AUUGAACGCUGGCGGCAGGCCUAACACAUGCAAGUCGAGCGGAUGAAGGGAGCUUGCUCCUGGAUUCAGCGGCGGACGGGUGAGUAAUGCCUAGGAAUCUGCCUGGUAGUGGGGGAUAACGUCCGGAAACGGGCGCUAAUACCGCAUACGUCCUGAGGGAGAAAGUGGGGGAUCUUCGGACCUCACGCUAUCAGAUGAGCCUAGGUCGGAUUAGCUAGUUGGUGGGGUAAAGGCCUACCAAGGCGACGAUCCGUAACUGGUCUGUGAGGAUGAUCAGUCACACUGGAACUGGGACACGGUCCAGGCUCCUACGGGAGGCAGCAGUGGGGAAUAUUGGACAAUGGGCGAAAGCCUGAUCCAGCCAUGCCGCGUGUGUGAAGAAGGUCUUCGGAUUGUAAAGCACUUUAAGUUGGGAGGAAGGGCAGUAAGUUAAUACCUUGCUGUUUUGACGGUACCAACAGAAUAAGCACCGGCUAACUUCGUG
rnacentral:rRNA from 1 species